AUGCGAUCAGUAAUGUGAAUUGCAGAAUUCAGUGAAUCAUCGAAUCUUUGAACGCACCUUGCGCUCCUUGGUAUUCCGAGGAGCAUGCCUGUUUGAGUGUCAUGGAAUUCUCAACUCUAUUUGCUUUUGUGAAUAGAGCUUGGAUUUGGAGGUUUAUUGCUGGUACUUGUGAUCGGCUCCUCUUGAAUGCAUUAGCUCGAACCUUUGCGGAUCAGCUAUCGGUGUGAUAAUUGUCUACGCCGUUGCAGUGAAGCAUAUCAAUGGGCUCGGCUUCCAAUCGUCCUUUACUGGACAAUGACUUUGACCUUUGACCUCAAAUCAGGUAGGAUUACCCGCUGAACUUAAGC
rnacentral:misc_RNA from 1 species